rnacentral:misc_RNA from 1 species
GGAUAAUUUAUCAAAAUAUGUAAAAGGAUUACUAUUAUUGAUAAAAGUGGAUUUCUCCCUCUCCACCUCUAGUCGAGGCUGUAAAUAGUACCUAAGAAGUUUGUUUUGCAUGCAAAUUUGCGAGGAAUGAAGAGGAAUUCUUGUAAAUCUGUUGAAUUUCGUUCAUUGGAGCUAGUUGUUUUACCUGUGUUUACUGUUAUCUUCGCAGGCUUCAGGCUUUGGAGGUUUCAAAGGAAGGAACUUUGUUAUGGCAAAGGAUGAAGGUACUCCCAAGGGUUAAAAGUGCCAGCCGAGUGAGCAUCGUCGCCCUUUGGCUAAAAGAGAUUGAGAGACCAACAGGGUUUUGCCUCCUGCCUUCUUCUCCUUCCACCAUAUUUCUUCCUUGAUAGUGUAUGGGUUUUGGUUUUCA